rnacentral:rRNA from 1 species
UGGCUCGGGGGGCGAGGAAGGGCGUGGCAAGCUGCGAUAAGCCCCGGGGAGGCGCAUGCGGCCUUAGAUCCGGGGAUCCCCGAAUGGGACCUCCUGGCAGGACUCGAUAAGGGUCCUGCCGCUCCCGGGUCUCAAACCUGGGAGCGCGAACCCCCCGAACGGAAACAUCCAAGUAGGGGGAGGAGAAGAAAUCAAAUCGAGAUUCCCUGAGUACCGGCGAGGGAAAGGGGAAGAGCCCAAACCGAAUCCCGCGCGGUGACGCGCGGGAGAUGUAGCGUGAAUGGUCGGUGGCUGCGCCUCGAGCGCAGCGCAACUCUCCCCUCUAGCCGAAGUGGCCUGGAAUGGCCCGCCAUAGAGGGUGACAGCCCCGUAGGUUAAAGGGGGGAGAGUGCGCGCCACCGGCCCGAGUACCUAGCCUUGGAUUUGGCUAGGGAAGUCGGGGGCCAACGGCCUCCAAGGCUAAAUACCUCCCGAGACCGAUAGCGAACUAAGUACCGUGAGGGAAAGCUGAAAAGCACCCCGGAAGGGGGGUGAAAAGAGCCUGAAACCAGGCGGCUACACCGCGCGCUGCUCGAAAGGGCCGUGCCGGUCCGCGCCCCGCAAGGGGCGCGGGUCGCCGCGGCCCGGGGUGGCGCGUUCCGUUUUGAACAACGGGCCAGGGAGUUCACCUUCACGGCGAGUUUAAGGGCUGCAAGCCCGAAGGCGAAGGGAAACCGAAUUCCCGCAGCUCCCUCCGGGAGCGAGGGGAAGGGUCCCAAAAGGGCCUCUUAGCCGUGGGGGUGAGACUAGAAACCGGGCGAUCUAGCCCUGGGCAGGGCGAAGCCGGGGGAAACCCCGGUGGAGGCCCGCAGGGGUGCUGACGUGCAAUUCGCGUCCUCUGACCUGGGGCUAGGGGCCAAAAGCCAAUCUAGCCCGGUGAUAGCUAGUUCCCGCCGAAGCAGAUCGGAGUCUGGCCCGGGCUGAGGUCGCCGGCGCUGUAGAGCACCGAUGGGAAGGCAAGGGGCGUUAAGCCCCACCUUCCUUUCGAACUCCGAAGGUGCCGGCUCCUGAGAAGCCCGGAGACGGGCCUGUGAGGGGUAAGCCCCACAGCCGAGAUGGGAACAACCAGGACCGGGGUUAAGGCCCCUAAGUGCCGGCUAAGUGUCAAACUGAAGGGCGUCUCCCCGCUAAGACAGCAGGGAGGUAGGCUUAGAAGCAGCCAUCCUUUAAAGAGUGCGUAACAGCUCACCUGCCGAGCGGGGGGGCCCCGAAAAUGGACGGGGCUAAGCCGGCCGCCGAGACCCCGGGUCACCCUCCUGUGGAGGGUGGGCGGUAGGCGGGCGCGGAGGUUGGGCGGAAGCGGGGCCGUGAGGUCCCGUGGACCGACCUCCGUUGCAGAUCCUGGCGGUAGUAACAGCCUAGCCGGGUGAAAACCCCGGCCGCCGAAAGGGCCAGGUUUUCUUGGCGACGCGCCGUCGGCCAAGAGUUAGCCGGUCCUAAGGACACCCCGAAAGGGCGUGUCCGAAUGGGAAGCCGGUUAAUAUUCCGGCGCCACGGAAUCCUCGUGCACCCCUCGUGGGUGCGCAUCCCAUCCCGUCGCCUCCGGAUAGGGGGAGUGGGGUCGCCGCCCCAUCUAACCGUUCGAGCCCGGGGGAGUGCCGUAAUGGCGAGAACCCGGGCGAGGACGGUAUGGGCCCGCCUUGUGCGGGUUCCCUCGAGUUCGGGGGACCGUGAAAGCGGGAUGGGAGAGAGGGUUCCGUGACCGUACCGAGAACCGACACUGGUGCCCUGGCUGAGCAGGCUAAGGCGUGUCGGGGGCACGGGAGGCGAGGGAACUCGGCAAAUUGGCCCCGUAACCUCGGGAGAAGGGGUGCCUGCGGUCUUGGGCGAAAGCCUGGGAUCGCAGGUCGCAGUGACAAGGGGGUCCCGACUGUUUAAUAAAAACAUAGGUGGCUGCUAGCCCGAAAGGGUUAGUACAGCCGCUGAAUCCUGGCCAGUGGGGGCACCUGAAACCCGGGUUCAACCGGGCUAAGGGUCCCUAAACGCCGGGAGUAACUCUGACUCUCUUAAGGUAGCCAAAUGCCUUGUCGGGUAAGUUCCGACGCGCAUGAAUGG